UUUUGGACAAUGGGGGCAACCCUGAUCCAGCCAUCCCGCGUGUGCGAUGAAGGCCUUCNGGUUGUNANGCACUUUUGGCAGGGAANCCAAGGCUCUGGCUAAUACCUGGAGCUGCUGACGGUACCUGCAGAAUAAGCACCGGCUAACUACGUGCCAGUAGCCGCGGUAAUACGUAGGGUGCAAGCGUUAAUCGGAAUUACUGGGCGUAAAGCGUGCGCAGGCGGUUCGGCAAGAAGGAUGUGAAAUCCCAGGGCUUAACCUUGGAACUGCAUGCUUAACUGCGGGGCUAGGGUAUGUCAGAGGGGGGUAGAAUUCCGCGUGUAGCAGUGAAAUGCGUAGAGAUGCGGAGGAAUACCGAUGGCGAAGGCAGCCCCCUGGGAUAAUACUGACGCUCAUGCACGAAAGCGUGGGGAGCAAAC
rnacentral:rRNA from 1 species